UGGGGAAACCCAGGCUAAUACCGCAUACGUCCUACGGGAGAAAGGGGGCUUCGGCUCCCGCUAUUGGAUGAGCCUAUGUCGGAUUAGCUGGUUGGUGAGGUAACGGCUCACCAAGGCGACGAUCCGUAGCUGGUCUGAGAGGAUGAUCAGCCACAUCGGGACUGAGACACGGCCCGAACUCCUACGGGAGGCAGCAGUGGGGAAUAUUGGACAAUGGGGGCAACCCUGAUCCAGCCAUGCCGCGUGUGUGAAGAAGGCCCUCGGGUUGUAAAGCACUUUCAGCGAGGAAGAACGCCUGUCGGUUAAUACCCGGCAGGAAAGACAUCAMUCGCAGAAGAAGCACCGGCUAACUCCGUGCCAGCAGCCGCGGUAAUACGGAGGGUGCAAGCGUUAAUCGGAAUUACUGGGCGUAAAGCGCGCGUAGGUGGCUUGAUAAGCCGGUUGUGAAAGCCCCGGGCUCAACCUGGGAACGGCAUCCGGAACUGUCAGGCUAGAGUGCAGGAGAGGAAGGUAGAAUUCCCGGUGUAGCGGUGAAAUGCGUAGAGAUCGGGAGGAAUACCAGUGGCGAAGGCGGCCUUCUGGACUGACACUGACACUGAGGUGCGAAAGCGUGGGUAGCAAACAGGAUUAGAUACCCUGGUAGUCCACGCCGUAAACGAUGUCGACCAGCCGUUGGGUGCCUAGAGCACUUUGUGGCGAAGUUAACGCGAUAAGUCGACCGCCUGGGGAGUACGGCCGCAAGGUUAAAACUCAAAUGAAUUGACGGGGGCCCGCACAAGCGGUGGAGCAUGUGGUUUAAUUCGAUGCAACGCGAAGAACCUUACCUACCCUUGACAUCUACAGAAGCCGGAAGAGAUUCUGGUGUGCCUUCGGGAACUGUAAGACAGGUGCUGCAUGGCUGUCGUCAGCUCGUGUUGUGAAAUGUUGGGUUAAGUCCCGUAACGAGCGCAACCCUUGUCCUUAUUUGCCAGCGAGUAAUGUCGGGAACUCUAAGGAGACUGCCGGUGACAAACCGGAGGAAGGUGGGGACGACGUCAAGUCAUCAUGGCCCUUACGGGUAGGGCUACACACGUGCUACAAUGGCCGGUACAAAGGGCUGCGAGCUCGCGAGAGUCAGCGAAUCCCUUAAAGCCGGUCUCAGUCCGGAUCGGAGUCUGCAACUCGACUCCGUGAAGUCGGAAUCGCUAGUAAUCGUGAAUCAGAAUGUCACGGUGAAUACGUUCCCGGGCCUUGUACACACCGC
rnacentral:rRNA from 1 species